CCAAGGAGAAGCUGAUGGACUCAGAGCUGGCCAAGUUGAGCCAAGCUCUAAGGGCUCCAGGUAUGAGUGAUGCAUCCUUGAGGUCAGUAAGCAUCCCUGCAGCAAACCUGGCAGUCUGGCUCCGGGCAGUCCUGCGCUACGGGCUGGCACAACGCCGAGGAUUGCCCACUGGCCUGCUGUUGCGGCAGGUAGAUGCAACACUGGCUCGGGAGCAGGCCCGCCUUGGCCAGUUCCAGUUUCAGGCCCAUGAUCUGCUACAGCAAACUCAAUUUUUGACUAAAAAGCUAGAAGAUGCCCAACUCAGUCAUAACCACGUUGUGGAGACCCUCAAUCAGGCACAAUGUGGGCACUUUCACAGAUGGCCCAUGAAGUCUGCACUGCUCACACCCAUGCACAUGUGGACGACACAGCUCC
rnacentral:lncRNA from 1 species